rnacentral:ncRNA from 1 species
UAUUUAUCUUAUUGCGGUAAUAUUAUUGAUUCAUCCUAAGAAUACUUAUGGAAGUUUCAGCAAAUAAAAUUUAACAUCCAGUUAAUAAAAUUAUAAAAUAUUAAAGAAAUUUAGAUUUAGCUAUUAGGGUAUUUAUAAGGCUCACAAAAGUGCCAGCAGCCGCGGUCACACUUUGAUUAUAUAAUCAAUAAUUAGUUAAUUUUAAAUCAUUUUUGAAUUAGAAUUUAAAUAUUUAUAGGUGAAAUUAAUAUUAUAUUUAAAGAACUUGAAUAAUUCAUUAAAUAUCUCAGUUAAUAAAUUUUUAACUUAAACUAGGAUUAGACACCCUACUAUAUUUAAACCCAACAGAAUUUACUAGGGUAUUAAAAUCUAAUAGAUCUAAACCCAAAUAAUAUGGCGGUAAGCUUUAUACUUCAGAGGAACUUACUAUUUAAUUUGAUAACCACCAAGAAAAUCCUUCUUAUAUUAAUAGCUUGUAUGCCGUCGUUUAAUUUCUACUUAAAGUAGGGAUAAAAUUAAUUUUAUUAAUUAAUUACAACAGAUCAAGGUGCAGCCAAUAUUUAAGAACUUCAGCGAGUUACAUUUAUAGAUUGUUAAUCUAAUCAGGUAUAAUUACCUUAACAUGAUAGGAUUUGAAAGUAAUGAGAUAUUAUAAAUAAUCUAUUAAUUAAUUAAAGCUUGUGUACAAAUCGCCCGUCAUUCUCAUAUAAGAAAAACCUGAGACAAGUCGUAACAUAGUAGGGGUAGAUGAAUCUGCUUCUGUUUUAGU